GCCAUUGCUGCCCUUGGAGAGAAGCUGACCCCUAUAUAGUGGGCAGUGCAGCUGAGCCAGCUCUGCCAGGCCCAGUGACAGUGGCAUGCCCACACCAACCUGUCCACACCUCCUCCUCAGCCAGAAGCCACAGGACAUGGAGGAGUAUUGUGGAUUCCAGUGUGGGUCAUCAGAGAAUUCAUGCUUCCUGAAGUCCAGGGUUCAUCUACAGACCUCAGCGACGAACAGAAAGGUUGUGGGCAAGCUUAAUGGAACAGAAUGGGAACAGACUAUCUUACCACCUGGCCUCAGAAUUUCUCUUACCUUGGUGAGCCAGCCUGAAGUGAAAAGUUGAGCAGGAAAGUUUGGACCCAGGU
ensembl:lncRNA